rnacentral:lncRNA from 1 species
UAUAUAUAUAUAUAAAACAUGUAUAUGUGUUAAUCAGCUACCUUCUUAAACUCGCAGCGUAUUCCUUACAAAAAGAUUUCACAGGCAUUUCUCUUCCGGAGUACUCAUAGCACACCACCAUCAACCUCUACCUUGACCUAGGCGUUGGUCUCAGCCUCCCAAGCCAGCCUACGGCCUCAGCCAAUCACGUGCCGUGUCAGUGAAUUGAAUUUUUAGCCUAUCCAAGGGAGGCUUAUAGACCAGCCAAGGGCUCACGUGCUGAUCACUGACGUCAACGUCGUCAGCGUCACCGUCUGCACUCUGCACAAGGUACUGUCAACUCUUCGUUGUUUUAUAAUUCAUUACACAAAACUUUACGUCAGUAGCUAUAGCUGUUACACCACUAUUAUAAAUUACUUAAUAUUCAGCAGCUCCAUUUAAAAACGUCAUUCGGAAUAUUAUUUUUUACGAGAAUAAUUGUAUUCCAUGAAUACAAAUUCUUAUUAAAAUUCCCUAUAAAAUAGAUAUACGAGUAAUUAACAAAAAAAUAAUGUAUUAACUUUAUGGAUCAACAAAAUGACUGGUUGCAUACAACGUUGUAUUUCUGCAAAGCAUAUCAAUUGCGUCAGUCAGUCAGUCAUCCAUCUCGGCCGGUGGCUCGGGCGAGAAAACAACACGCUCACCCCCCCCACCCCCCCACCCCCCAUGAUCCCUUCUUUUGCUUCAGUACAAAAAACAAAAAAUUAAUCUUCAGUUCUCCUCCUCCAUCACCACUCUUGGUUUCUCCUUAUCUGCUUCAAGAAUUGUGACCUGAGAGGCAAGAAAACCAAGUUAAUUGAACCUUACUUGGUAGUUCCAUAAGGUUCAGUUUUCGUAUGAUGCUAAUGGGAAAAAUUUAAGCUUAAUGUGAACGCAGCAAUGUAGGGCUUUAGGCCAAAAAUCUGAAGAGUAUUUUUGUGGGUAAUGAAGCACUCAGUCCAUCUGUCUCUAAAGGCCCGUAUUCAUCAGCGACACUUGAGCCAAGCGGGUCCUCAUCACUGCUGCCAAACGCUUGUGUAAACACUCUCUUCCCAGUCAGUAUUGCCAACCUAGCCGCCCUACACCAACAUUACGGGGCCUCAACUUCAGUUUGGUUUGUUAUCCUAAGAAAUCGCUAAAAUUUGAUAACUUUCAAAUAAAAGUUAACUAAUUAUUCAGCUGUAAUAUGAUAAGCAGAUAUGGCGGGUCGCUGAGGGAGGCGUAGAGUGCACUUGACUGAAGUAUCGGUGGUGAAUAUUGUACUCUGUAAGGUGAUAAUGGGAGUGAGUCCAUCACCCGGGCUACGGAGGGAGAGCUCUGGCCGGGUAUUAUAGACACCUGAGUAUAUUCCUAGCCUUAGAAAAUAUCGAAAUAUUUUAUACACUUAUUGCUUGGUCCCAUUACCAAAAAUGUUUCAAUGUUAGUUUUUCUCCUCAACCACAAACAACAACCAGGUAAUUUGUUACGUGCUUGUUACUCCCAGCUGAUUGUUUACCUGGUCAGGUGACACUGCCAGCUGGUUGUUUACCUGGUCAGGUGACACUGCCAGCUGGUUGUUUACCUGGUCAGGUGACACUGCCAGCUGGUUGUUUACCUGGUCAGGUGACACUGCCAGCUGGUUGUUUACCUGGUCAGGUGACACUGCCAGCUGGUUGUUUACCUGGUCAGGUGACACUGCCAGCUGGUUGUUUACCUGGUCAGGUGAUACUGCCAGCUUGUUGUUUACCUGGUCAGGUAUUAUUUCCACCUGACUCAAUACCUGAUCAGUUAGCUAUCACCAGGUGAAUGGCUGUUGCUACCUGGUGAGGAUCUAAUUCCAGAUGACUGGAUACCUAGUCAGGUAUUACUUCCAGCUGAUUGGUUACUUGGUCAGGUAAUGCUUCCAGCUGGUUGGUCGUUGUUACCUGGCCAAGUAUUCCCUAUUACCUUCAGCUAAUUGGUUGUUACGUAGUGUGAGGUAUUACUUCCAGCUAAUUAGUUGUUUGUUACCUGGUCAAAGUGGUUAUAUUUUUUUUUCAAGGGAAGAAGAAUAACGUCUUAUAGCUCAUCUUUCCUUCCUGAUAUAAUGAUUGAAAUGUAAACACAAAUUUUCUAUGUCAUUGAAGACUGAAUAAGCCAACUGGGUUUGUGUGUGAACUUCUCUGUAAUCCUUCAUCUUGGCUCUACCAAAGGCUGAUCGAGGUACAAGACAUGAACCUACAUUGGUCUUCUUAAACCGGGAAUCCAUAUUUCAAAGUCAAAUCUAAUAAUAAUAAUAUUAAUAAUAAUAAAUAAUAAUAAUAUUAAUAAUAAUAACAUUAAUAAUAAUAGUAAUAAAUACACAAGCCUUAACAAGACGUGCUGCUAACGCUUCUGCUUGUAAUUUUGAUAUUUUGUAAAAGUUGUUAUAAUCAAUGUUGUUGUUUAUAUAGUUAUUUUCCUAGAAAAUUGUAAAUCGAUGCGGCCACCACACGCGCGAUUGGUCAUUUUAUUUGGAGAAAUGACCAAGAAACGACUUUUUUUCCUUCUUUAUUUUGGAAAGUCUCGAUGGAAAAGGGAAUAUACAAAAAAUAUAUAUAAUAUAUAUAUACCAAACAAUGGUGCUUUUUGGUAGUCUUAUAAAAUGUUUAUUUCUAUUAUUUAUUUGAUAUUUUUUAAGAGGAGUUGUGGGCGGGGUAUAUAUGUAUAUAUAAAUAUAUAUUUAUGUAUAUGUAUAUAUAUAUACUAUCAUGUGGAAGAUUACGUUAUGUUUUUAUUGAGAGACAAGUUCAUUUUGUUCAGAUUCCAAAUAAAUAUUGAACAGAA